AGAACGGGGCUUUGGGCUCCAGCAGGUACCCAUAGGGGUGGCUUCCUGGCCCAGCAAUUCCCUCUCCUAGCCAUCACAGGCAGAGGCAGGCUGGGUCUGGAUUUCCCUUUCCAGUGAGUUUGGGAUCCAGGUUCAUGGAGCCUGGGACUUGCAUGGAGCCUCCACCAGGCAGGUGCCCUGAGAGAAGGGCAGGAACUUCUUGCUUCACUGAUCCACCCAGAGCCUCCGUGUUUCCUGCUUCCUGUGAGUGGUCGCUCAGCACUUUGAUCCUGUGAGCUGGGACAGUAUCUUUUCAUACAUUUUCUGGGUUUUUUGUGGGUUUUUUUUUUUUGCUAAAGCUGAUGUCUGUUUCUCGCUACUCUAACAACACUUAACACAUAUAAUAAUAGUCGGAUACAUACUUGUAUCAAUUUCCUAUUGCUGCUGUCACAGUUACCACAAAUUUCAUGGUUUUAAGCCACUAAUUUGUUAUUUUGCAAGACACAUUUACUAUCUUAUAGUUCUGGAGGUCAGAAGUCCGCAGCAGGUCUCCCCGGGCAACAACUGGGGCACCAGCAGGCCAUCUUCCUUCCGGAGACUCUGCGGGGAGGCUGGUUCCUUGCCUUUUCCCACUUCUGAGGUUGCCCCGGUCCUUGGCUCAUGGCCCUCCCUCCAUCUUCAAAGCCGUUUCUUAUAGCCAUCGUCAACCCCCACCACCCCACCCCAUGCCACUCCCUGAAUCCAGGCAGAUUCUGUAGUUGCUCUGGCCAGUGAGAGGCAGCCAAGAGAAGGCGGGUGGUGGCCGGGCCGGGCCUCGGGAGGCCAGCAGCUUCCACUACCUCCUCUCGUGCUCUCUGGGAGCCCUGAUCCACUCCAGGAGGAGGCCAGUCGUCUUGCACUGUCAGGGACAUCAUUUUCAAACAAACAAUAGAUGUGUAUCAGGGCUCGUGCCCAGACUUUUUUACUAUGUGUGCUAUAGUGUGGCCCCUCUGGGGGAGACUGGAAGGGAAAGGAGGUUGGUAGUGAGGGGAUUGGCAGAGGGUGAGCUAAUGAACUCUGUCCUCCUCAUAAAAAUGAGCCUGCUAUGGCUUCUGAGCAGCAGGGAGCUAAUGGCUGUGGCUGGGCAGAAGGUCGCUUAGGAGGGUGGGCUGCGUGGACAGGAAGGGAGUGAGGCCGACAGCAGCAGGGAAGCCAGGCAGGGGCUUCAGCGGGUGCUGUCUGGGAUUUGGAGACAUCUGUAGGGAGGAGGCUGGGAACAGCAGUGCUUGUUCCCGAGGGUCUGUGAUUCUGAUAUUCUGUGAUGCUAAACACCGUGUCUCCAUAGUGCUCUGAUCUGGUGAUUUGCAGAACCUCUCGCCCAGCAAUUCUCAAAUCCUCUGAUUCAUGCAGUGCUGACCCAGCCCAUUUGGUUCCUGCCAACCCCUGGCCGGCCCACGACUUCCCCAAGAAGCUGAGGAAAGGCUCCAUUUUUAUUUAUUUUCUUUUUCUAUUCAGUCAGGCAGGUGUUAGGGGGAGCCCUACCUUCCACCCAGGAUGCCCAGAUCGGGAGGAUCCAGGUCAGGAAGGUCUGGAGGACAUUUGGACACAGACACAGGCCAUGUGAGCAUGAAGGCAGAGACUGGGAGAUGCAUCUAGAAGCCAAGGAACGUGGAAGAUGGCCAGCAAACUGCCAGACACAGAGGGAGAGGCCUGGAGCAGUCUCCCUUAUAGCCCCAGGAGGAACCAACCCUGUUUGCACGUUGCUGUUGGACUUCUGGCCUCCAGAACUGGGAGACAACACGUUUUGGUGGCUUAAGCCACCAACGAUAUUCAUGCAGCCCCUGUGGAGGUCAAGGGAUUUGUUCCAGAGCUCUGGGCAAGUCACUUUGCUUUUUGAGGCUUCCUAGCCUGUAAAGUGGGGAGUGGCAGCUGUCUGCAGCUGUCAAGAUCAAAUGAGGUAAAGAAGUCUGAAGAGAGGGGAGGCGGAGACGCUGACCUCCAUUUCUGCCCUGCUUCUGCCACUCCCUAGCUCAUGGCCACUUGCCCGCUACUUAAUAAUAGUAGUUACCUCCCAGGAUGGUUUGGGACCAGCGGCGUUAUUUGAUAGAAAUCACCUGGAGAGCAGCAGCGCUCCCCAGAGUUUUGCAGUUCUUGUUCAUGACAGAGCCCAGCGGAGGGUCCAAGCGUGAGGGAGGAACGUCAAGGGCAGUGUGGCGGGUGCAGGAGCUGGAGGGGGCUUGGGGUUUGGUGGUUGACCUUCGACCUUCUCCAACAGAGAUGCAAAUGUUACAGAUGGGGUCUGGGGACAGCCAAGUGGGGAGAGGUGGACUGGAGUUGAGUGUGCUCUGGUUUGGAAGUGAGACCUUGACUUGUGGUGGCCUCACCCUGUUUGGGUGACAUCUCUGUUCAGAGCUAAGCCCCAGGGACACAUGGCAAGGAAGACAGAUGGGAGUGGUGGCAGUCGGGAGCCUCGGCGAGAUUCUAUCUGGUGCUGGGCUGGAGCCGGGGAAUGGGACCUUCUUCUGACAGCUCUCUGGCUGCUUCCGAUGGAAAAGAAGCUGAUCUGUGCGAUGCGGGCUUGAACCCACAUUGACCAGAGACUUUGCAGCCAGCUCACCCCUCCAAAUCCCCGCCCUGGAGUCCCUGACCCAGGAAUUUCUGCAUCAGGCUGCUCAAACCUGAAUUUGACAAAAUUUCAAAGCGCUGUAUCUUUAUGUUGAUAAGACAACGGAUAAAGUGCCAUACUUGGAACCUAGAUCACUCAAUGUUGCCUGUAGCUGAGUCCACUUCUGUCACUCACCCUGCAUUGCCCUGCCAGGAGCAAGGGAGAGAAAGCCAGCCAGAAGGCAUGGGCAUGGGCUCAAAUCUGGCUUCUCCUGUGGCCACUGUGAAAGUUGAUCAUACAAAGGUCACUGUUGUCAUAGCCAAGCAGAGUUAUGAGACCACAGGAAAAAGCACUUGGACCACGUAACAUUGCUCCAAGAGUAUAACUGUCUCCAACCCUGGCUGCUGGAACAAGUGUUGCAACCUGAAACCGGUUUGAUCUAAUAGCUACAGAAACAACCUGCGGAAAUCUAAGACUAGUUUCACCCACUCACCAAUCAGAGCUUGCCGGAUCCCCAAAACGUUGCUAGUGCUAAUGAACUUGCUUUCCUAACAAUCCAUAACAUUUCUCAUUUUUAUGAAACCUACAACCUUCUCUUUGCUCUUUGGACAUACUGAAGACCACCCAGUCUGUGUGUAUGCCCCAAACUGAAAUUCUUGCUCCCCAAAUAAAACAUUUUAAACUUA